rnacentral:rRNA from 1 species
UACGUAGGGUGCGAGCGUUAAUCGGAAUUACUGGGCGUAAAGCGUGCGCAGGCGGUUCGUCGUGUCCGAUGUGAAAGCCCCGGGCUCAACCUGGGAAUGGCAUUGGAAACUGGCGGACUCGAGUGUGGCAGAGGGGGGUGGAAUUCCGCGUGUAGCAGUGAAAUGCGUAGAGAUGCGGAGGAACACCGAUGGCGAAGGCAGCCCCCUGGGCUAACACUGACGCUCAGGCACGAAAGCGUGGGGAGCAAACAGGGAUUAGAGUACCC